UACGUAGGGUGCGAGCGUUGUCCGGAAUUAUUGGGCGUAAAGAGCUCGUAGGCGGUCUGUCGCGUCUGCUGUGAAAACCCGAGGCUCAACCUCGGGCCUGCAGUGGGUACGGGCAGACUAGAGUGCGGUAGGGGAGAAUGGAAUUCCUGGUGUAGCGGUGAAAUGCGUAGAUAUCGUAAGGAAGACCAGUGGCGAAGGCGAAUCUCUGGACAGUUACUGACACUGAGGCACGAAGGCCAGGGGAGCAAACGGG
rnacentral:rRNA from 1 species